rnacentral:rRNA from 1 species
GACGAACGCUGGCGGCGUGCUUAACACAUGCAAGUCGAACGGAAAGGCCCUGCUUUUGUGGGGUGCUCGAGUGGCGAACGGGUGAGUAACACGUGAGUAACCUGCCCUUGACUUUGGGAUAACUUCAGGAAACUGGGGCUAAUACCGGAUAGGAGCUCCUGAUGCAUGGUGGGGGUUGGAAAGUUUCGGCGGUUGGGGAUGGACUCGCGGCUUAUCAGCUUGUUGGUGGGGUAGUGGCUUACCAAGGCUUUGACGGGUAGCCGGCCUGAGAGGGUGACCGGCCACAUGGGGACUGCGAUACGGCCCAGACUCCUACGGGAGGCAGCAGUGGGGAAUAUUGCACAAUGGGCGGAAGCCUGAUGCAGCAACGCCGCGUGCGGGAUGACGGCCUUCGGGUUGUAAACCGCUUUCGCCUGUGACGAAGCGUGAGUGACGGUAAUGGGUAAAGAAGCACCGGCUAACUACGUG